UACGUAGGGUGCGGGCGUUGUCCGGAAUUACUGGGCGUAAAGAGCUCGUAGGUGGUUUGUCGCGUUGUUCGUGAAAACCGGGGGCUUAACCCUCGGCGUGCGGGCGAUACGGGCAGACUUGAGUACUGCAGGGGAGACUGGAAUUCCUGGUGUAGCGGUGGAAUGCGCAGAUAUCAGGAGGAACACCGGUGGCGAAGGCGGUUCUCUGGGCCUUACCUGACGCUGAGGAGCGAAAGCGUGGGGAGCGAACAGG
rnacentral:rRNA from 1 species